rnacentral:lncRNA from 1 species
CCAACAAAGAAACCAAAAUCAGGCCGAAGCCUGUUUUCCUUUUUGGCACAGGGAUGGUGCGAUGCACCAAAUCCCAAUCCCCUUUUUUUUUUAAUUCCCUUUAGGUUUUUAAAAAAAAACCUAAUAUGCUUCUAAUUUAAUUUUAUACAUUGACUCACAAAUUCCACAUAACAAUUUAAUUGUGCGAUGCAUGAAACAAAUAUAUAUAGUGACAAAUAUAUGAACAUAUACAAUAUAUAUAUCGGAAGGAAAAUAUAAACAUAGGGGGUUCAUGCAUCAUGGGGAAUGUUUUCAUGCUUCAUGGGUCGUUUCAAAUAUCUUCCUUUAUUUUAAGCGUACCUGAGCAGCAGAAAACGAAUAAGCCUUUGAAUGUGGUGGAUGAUAGCCUCCUCCUACGAUGCUUCAGUUCCUCAGCUUCUGGUAAGAGCGUGCUGAUAACGUGUUGUAGGCCUAUUUAAUUGAGCGAUCUAAGGUUUAGAGAGAGAGAGGGAGGCCGGCCACUUUAGAGAGAAGAGAGAUUGAUUUAAUUGUGAGGUGUGUUUGAUUCAUCCCAUUGUGCCUUUAUUUAUAGUAGUUGGAAGGGUAAAUACCUUUCCCUUUAUGAUUUCAACAUUUAAUAGGUAAUCUAAUCCUAAUAGGAAUAUAUAAUACUUUACCAUAUUCUCUAGGAUUUACACAAUCACAUUCCUAUUCGAAAUAAAACUGCAACAGUAAUGAGAUUGCGAGUGGUUCAUAAGUUCAUUAUUCUUUAAAAUGUAUUUUAAUAAAAAAAUAAAAAACCAAUUGGCACACGUUUAACAUUAAGUUAACAAAAACAUUGCUAUUAUUUUGGGAAAGUUUUGUAUAUAAAGUUAUAAAGGAUGGAAAAAAGAGGACUUAGCCAAAUCCUCCAAAUUUGGGCUUCUCAGAUCUUUUUCCGUUCUUCUCCAAGAAUGCAUGAUGAGUAACGAAAAGUGCCCGCAUUUCAGCUUUUCAUCUUCUUCUCCCUGAAGCUAUAAGGAAGCCGGGCGUUUCCUUUCUCUCCGAAGAAUAUAAUAUCCACUGUAAUAUUAGCUUAAAGAACCAAAUGGUGAUUUAGUUGAAACCAAAUUUGCGCACUUCAGUGGACGGUGGUCAAGCACAAAUCCGAGUAACGUGCAAUACAAAUAAUUUAAAACUCAAAUAAUGGGUAAAAGAAUUGAAGUGUUUAGGUUGUGUUUCUAAGUCGAAAGAAUCCUAAAAGAUAUCUAGAAGUAGAUAUUGCAUCCUCUUAGAAGUUAUGAUGGCCCAACCUACAUAUAAUCAAGUUGUAAAUAAGCAAUUGAUAUCGCAGCGCUUGUAGUUAUGUUUUGAAAAGUAAAGAUAACAAAUUUAUCAAUCUUAAAUAAACCACCUUGCUUUUGAUUUAAUAAAAUCAUCUAAAUUAAGAGGCCUUAACACCGUAGAUGCGUCACUUUUAAUCUCUUGUACAAUGAGUAACCAAGCACCACCAAUAGGCACAACUAAAUCAGUACAAAAAUUUACACAUUUUGCAAGUAAAGGCGAAGGUAUUCAUCAAGAAAAUAGAAAAUUGAGAAAAUAGCUCCUCUCAAGGUAUCUACUAUCAAUAUGAGGAGCAUCUACUAUCUGUAAUACCUAGGGAUGGGCAAAAUACCCAUGGGUUUGGGUAACCGCAGUUACCCGCCCAUUUAAAGUUCACAGUUACGGUUAUGGGUAACCGUUUAGAUGGAUAAACGGUUAUGGGUAUAACCGUUUAUCCGUGGAAUUUAAAUGGGCGGUUAUGGAUAUUAUUCAUGGUUAUAACGGGUAUCCAUCGGUUAUGGGUAUUACGUGCGGUUAUACAGGAAUCCAUUUACCCAUUUAAUUUAAUAUAUGUAAAAAUUAAAAAAAAAUUAUCACAAGUGUUCGAUAUUAUAAAAAAUUAAAUUAAAAAAAGGACUUGAUAGCGUAAAUGUUUUUUUUCAAAUUUACCCCUGAUAGAACCUACAAUUACUCAGGGACUUUGAAAACACGGACACAGACACACAUACACAAAACAACAAAAAUAAAAUAAUUAUAAAAAAAAACAAAAAGUAACUGACAGUGGCGGGUGUGGAAAAUGAGGCAACACCAAAAGCCCCAUAUGCGACAGAAAAAGACAAAGUCAAUGAAUGGGCUUGGUUAGAUUCUGUCAGGGGUAAAUUUGGAAAGAAACAUUUACUGAU